rnacentral:rRNA from 1 species
CGAUUCGCCCUUGGGGUGCACCAGGCGCGAAAACUUUACAAUGCGGAAAACCGUGAUAAGGGGACACCGAGUGCCAGCAUCAUAUGCUGGCUGUCCAGGUGUGUAAAAUACACCUGUUAGCAAGGGCCGGGCAAGACCGGUGCCAGCCGCCGCGGUAACACCGGCGGCCCGAGUGGUGAUCGUGAUUAUUGGGUCUAAAGGGUCCGUAGCCGGUUUGGUCAGUCCUCCGGGAAAUCUGAUAGCUCAACUAUUAGGCUUUCGGGGGAUACUGCCAGACUUGGAACCGGGAGAGGUAAGAGGUACUACAGGGGUAGGAGUGAAAUCUUGUAAUCCCUGUGGGACCACCUGUGGCGAAGGCGUCUUACCAGAACGGGUUCGACGGUGAGGGACGAAAGCUGGGGGCACGAACCGGAUUAGAUACCCGGGUAGUCCCAGCCGUAAACGAUGCUCGCUAGGUGUCAGACAUGGCGCGACCGUGUCUGGUGCCGCAGGGAAGCCGUGAAGCGAGCCACCUGGGAAGUACGGCCGCAAGGCUGAAACUUAAAGGAAUUGGCGGGGGAGCAC